rnacentral:snRNA from 1 species
UUUUUAAAAAUUGAUGAUG